AUGUGAGUCAUGGUGAAAAGAAGGUACUCUGUAGUCUGUAGUUAUAACUAGCUUGCUCCAGUCGGAACCGCUCAUUCUUGCUUGACGUGUCGAGAGGUUCGUACAAACGAAAGCUAUCGAGUAAUCUAAUCUACAGUUAUCCCAGCAACUUUAUUUUCCAGAAUCUACGCCAAUCUUUUAAACAUUAUGGGUCUCCUUGCUUUUGCUGUUGUCACUGGCGUUGGAUCGGCCAUCAUAGCUCUACCAGUAUUAGCUCCUGCCGUUUUGCCUCUAAUAGGCUUCAGUGCCGUGGGACCAGUGGCAGGAGGCCUUGCUGCUGGAGCACAGGCAUUUGUCGGAAAUGUCGCUGCCGGAUCUACAUUUGCUACUCUACAGGCUAUGGCCAUGGCCGCCCCCACACCAUAAUUUGAAACUCAAUUGUUCCAGCAAAUGCAAACAAUAAUGCUUGACUUCUACUAUUCAUUAACUUUUAGAAUGACAUUUUUGUGAAAAAAAUAAAUUUAAUAAAUAAAUAACUGUUGAUUGCUGUA